rnacentral:lncRNA from 1 species
CAUCUGUUCAAGUCCCUGCUUUCAGUCCUUUUGUGUACACGUCCAAAAGCUGAACUGCUGAAUUACAGGCUAAUUUCAGGUGUAAGCCUUUAAGGAGCAGCCAUAUCGUACUCCCCAGUGGCUGCAACACUGGACUCUCCCACAGGCAAUGAGCAAGUUUCCGGUCUCUCUACAUCCUUGCCCACAGCUCAUCAUUUCCACUCAGAGGCUGUGAAGAGAGAACAGGAUCUUGGCUGAAACUCCCGGUAACAAAGACAGAUGACGAGAGGAAAAGAAGCUCAGUGAGUCCGCUACAGACGAGCCUUCCCCUAUAGACGAGCGAACUGACGGGAACAUGUGUGCUCACGACCAGUCACGUGAGGAUUGUCCAGAAGCAGUUGUAAAAGCAGCAGAGAUGGGGCUGGUACUACGAACAGGCACCAAGAAUCAGAGGCCCAGAGAAAGGACUGAGAGCAACAAGGAGGAGGACGAACUGCAGACCUGGAAGAGGGUCAGGGUGCAGGAAACGGCACGGGCUUUUCCUGUAUUUGAGCGGGCACUGUUAGGGUUUGCCGCUCAGGACCUGAAGGUAGGAGGGUGCACAAAGGCUGCGGCACCCAUCCAGAAUUCAGCCCACGGCUACCGUGUCAUCUAUGGGGAGGAAAACAGACCCACUGCCCAGACCUCACCGAAUUGUUUUCUUCA